rnacentral:misc_RNA from 1 species
AAGUCGUAACAAGGUAACCGUAGGUGAACCUGCGGUUGGAUCAUUAAAAAGAUCAUGAUUAUUUUUUUUUGCCUCUUUUUGGGGUUCAGCCCUUUGAAUGCAAAAAAAAGCCAAUAGGGAGUGCUUCAUUUGUAUCUCCCAUUGUGCAAACCACAUCUAUGUGCACUGUUAAUGUCUUUGGUGGGGGGGUACAACAAUCUGUUGUCUGCAACAUAUUUGUGUGCUCGUCAGUUUCAAAGGGAUCUUGUUGUUUCUUUGAGGCCGUGGACAUCCCACCACAUGUUUUUAAACCUUGCUCAAAACAGUAGAUUUUCUUGUCUUAAACAUAUUCUGUUGUAUUUCCAAUGCAACCAAAUAUACAAACAACUUUUGGCAACGGAUCUCUUGGCUCUC